rnacentral:rRNA from 1 species
GACGAACGCUGGCGGCGUGCCUAAUACAUGCAAGUUGAGCGCUGAAGGUUGGUACUUGUACCAACUGGAUGAGCAGCGAACGGGUGAGUAACGCGUGGGGAAUCUGCCUUUGAGCGGGGGACAACAUUUGGAAACGAAUGCUAAUACCGCAUAAAAACUUUAAACACAAGUUUUAAGUUUGAAAGAUGCAAUUGCAUCACUCAAAGAUGAUCCCGCGUUGUAUUAGCUAGUUGGUGAGGUAAAGGCUCACCAAGGCGAUGAUACAUAGCCGACCUGAGAGGGUGAUCGGCCACAUUGGGACUGAGACACGGCCCAAACUCCUACGGGAGGCAGCAGUAGGGAAUCUUCGGCAAUGGGCGAAAGUCUGACCGAGCAACGCCGCGUGAGUGAAGAAGGUUUUCGGAUCGUAAAACUCUGUUGGUAGAGAAGAACGUUGGUGAGAGUGGAAAGCUCAGCAAGUGACGGUAACUACCCAGAAAGGGACGGCUAACUACGUG